rnacentral:piRNA from 1 species
CUGGGGAACCCAAAGUUCGACAUGGGC